CGGCGUUUCUCAGGAGGGAAGAGUUGGGGAGGCUCUUGCAGUUUGGGAAACGUUUUAACUUUAAAGUCACCGGUUUGCAGGAAUAGGCUACAUAAAGUGGAAUAGGAGAUUGGGACACGAGUGGAUGGAAAGCGAGCACCUUCUUUACUGUAGGGUUGCUGAAAUUCUACUGUAACUUUCUAUAGUAAAGACUCAAUAAAUCUGUUUGAAGAUGGCAUCAGAAGAAGAGUAUGAAGAAGAGAUUGUGGGGGAGGAGGAGGUAAGCUACAAAUUCAAUACAUUGCAAUGCAUAUACUUGAUUAUUUAUUUACCCUCAUUCAUUGAAAGAGUGACAGUAAUGCUCCUCUAUAUUAUUUCACAUUGCCCC